UAAAUUUGUUGAUGCAGCAAGGAUG
rnacentral:piRNA from 1 species